rnacentral:rRNA from 2 species
GCGCCUAACACAUGCAAGUCGAACGAGAAAGUGGAGCAAUCCAUGAGUACAGUGGCGUACGGGUGAGUAACACGUGGGUAAUCUACCUCCUAGUGUGGAAUAACCCUGGGAAACCGGGGCUAAUACCGCAUAAGCUCGAGAGAGGAAAGCAGCAAUGCGCUGGGAGAGGAGCCCGCGGCCGAUUAGCUAGUUGGUAGGGUAAAAGCCUACCAAGGCUGAGAUCGGUAGCCGGCCUGAGAGGGCACACGGCCACACUGGCACUGAAACACGGGCCAG